rnacentral:rRNA from 1 species
GAUGAACGCUAGCGACAGGCCUAACACAUGCAAGUCGAGGGGCAGCACGAGGUAGCAAUACUAGGGUGGCGACCGGCGGACGGGUGAGUAACACGUAUGCAACCUACCUGUAAGAGGGGAAUAACCCGGAGAAAUUCGGACUAACACCGCAUAAUACCUCGAAGCUGCAUGGCUUUGAGGUUAAAUAUUUAUAGCUUACAGAUGGGCAUGCGUAACAUUAGAUAGUUGGUGAGGUAACGGCUCACCAAGUCAACGAUGUUUAGGGGUUCUGAGAGGAAGGUCCCCCACACUGGUACUGAGACACGGACCAGACUCCUACGGGAGGCAGCAGUGAGGAAUAUUGGUCAAUGGGCGAGAGCCUGAACCAGCCAAGUCGCGUGAAGGAAGAAGGUUCUAUGGAUUGUAAACUUCUUUUGUAAGGGAAUAAAAAGAGUUACGUGUAACUUAUUGUAUGUACUUUACGAAUAAGGAUCGGCUAACUCCGUG